UAAUAUAAUAUAAUAUAAUAUAAUAUAAUAUAAUAUAAACAUAACAUAACAUAACAUAACAUAGCAUAAUAUAACAUAACAUAACAUAAUCAACAAUAUAAACAAUACAACCAAAUGGACAAAUAAAGAUGCUGUUUCAGAAUUAUUUGCUACACAGGGAAAUUGCUGUUUCUUAUGAAGGCAUUUCUCUUUUACUAUUUUUCUUUACCUGUAAAAAAAACACUUAUUAAAAAUAUUUCAACCUUUGUGAUGAAGUGUCUUCAUUAAUGACCUUGGUAAUGGGAUGGAGCACUCUCUCCAUGAGACUGCAAACUUGACUGGCUGGAGUGCUCACUCAGCUGUAGGUUCCGAAUGGCUUUGCCAGGCUGGAGAAAUUGGUUGACAGAAAAGUCAUUAAGUUCUACAGAGGCAAGUGCAGAGCCUUGCAUCUGUGAUGAAAUUACCACAUGAACAGUAGAAAUUGGAUAGACAGCAGUGCCAAGGGAAAUGAGCUGAUGUACAUAUUGAAUGAGUUGAAUCCUCCCAGCAAAGAAGCCAAGCUGUUGCCAGUAGCCUUAGGGUGGUGAAACUUUCCAGAUGUUCAACACUUGUAAGACCCCAUCUGGAGUAUUGUGUCCAGUUGUGGUCUCUCCCACACAAAAAACCACAUUUCAUAUUGGAACAAGUCCAGUGGAAAGGCAACAAGAUGAUUGAAGGUUCAUUACUCAGAAGGAAAGGAUGAGACAACCGAGGUUAUUCAACCUCAAGAAAACAAGGCAACCAAUGAGCGGUGAAGAGAGAGUCAGACUCUCUGCUCCAAGGUGCACAGAAAGAGAGACAGUCAAUAAAAGUUGGAACAAAAAAAUUCUUACUGAAUACAAAAGGAAUUUUUUUCUCAUAAGGAUGGUCAAACACUGGGACAGGCUGCCGAAAGUUGUUGUGGUAUCUCAAUCACUGAGUUAAAAACUGAUUUGUACAUGUGCCUGAGCAAUCUUAUCUAAUUGGACCUUCUGUGAGGGGAAGAUCAGGCUAGGAGAUCUCCAUACAUCUCUGUAGCAUAAAAUAUUCUACAUUUGGCGCUUCAUUACAACUUUUUUACCUCUUCAGCUUUUAUUUUUUUUUCAUCUAUCAUUCCAUCAGAGUUCCUAAAUAGUAUGUCAAUUCUAGUUGCUAGUCUUUAAAUAGCCAACAAUUCUUCCCUUUUCUUCAUAUUGUAUCAGACUCAAGCCUUCUGUGCUGCAAAAUAAUGAAAAUGGAAGGAAUAAAAUUAUAACAUGACAGCAUUAUGAGAUCUCUGACUCCUGCUGACUGUAAAUGUGUAUCUCCUUCAAAAUUGGGAUUGUAGUCGCAGCUGAAAUCCUCUGAAACGUGACAUACAUUCUUUUUACAUUUUAAUGGACAAAUCUGAUUUGUGAAAUCACAUUACUGUCCCUUUACAGCAUAGAAUCACAUACACUGUCCAUUUUAUUACUGUCCUUAUGUACAAUCAGGCCUUUGAAAGUUUGUAGACAAGGAAUCAGAAACCUGAUUAGAAUAAAUGGAUUUUGAUCUUGUCAGUAUUGUAGCACCACUGGUUAGUUACUUCUAAACUGCUACUGCUGUCUCCUAUUGUACUCAUAUAUGUACACAGAUAUCAAUGUUAGACUUGCCUGCUGAUGCACUUUUCUGUUCUUUGUAUGAGUGGGCUUGAUGGAUUUCAGUCAUUGGGUGACUGGUUUGACUGUGCAGUGUGAAUAUGAACUGUUGGUGUACAGAGAUGCAUGCAUGAGCAUCAAGGACUCUGAUCUCAAGUCCCAUUAGAAUCAAUGGGAAUUUGUCAUCUAAAAGCAAGAAAAUUCCUGUCAGAACUAGGUCCUUAGAGUCCUAGGACUCAGACACUUUUUGUCUCAUGAAAAAUGGACAGAAUUUCUCCUCAAACAGACAAAACCUGCAAAAUAUGAUUAACAGUACCUGGACAGAGAUAUUAUGAAGCCAUUACUUCUGAUGUUACAAAGAAGCAGAAAAAUAAAAGGUGGGAGAACACUUUUAUUGUGAUGUUGGUGCCCUGUGGGAGAGUAAUAGUGAAUAACAGUAGUGUACUGAUAGCAUUAAUUAACCAGGGCUAUCAAGAUGAUGAGUGAUGUAGAAGGAAAAAAAUAUUUUGAGAAAGAGCAGAAGCAAUGAAGCACAAUAGGGUAGGAAAAGAGCUGAGGAAACAAGCAGAACUGACAUGGAACAAAUUCUUUUUCAGGGAAAAGAGUGCUUGAAAAAAUUUAUCAUCUUGAAGGGAAAAAUAAACCAUUGAUUCAAAAGCAAAAGAACAUGGUAGCAAAAUUUGAUUGAACAUACGUAUCCUCACAGAGAUGAAUGGAAGCAAGAUGAAAAAUACAUACUAAAAUAACUGCAAACCUGGACAGAUUUUAACAGCAAAGGCAGAAAACCUGGGAAUCGAUGGAUGGCAGCUCAUGCAGUUUUAACUGGCUUCAGCCAUGUAAAUAGUAAUUCCCUACAGAUGCUGUUUAGCCUUGUCUGCACAUCUGAGUGUCUAAGACAAAAAUUGUAUUUUAAAAUCAUAUACUGAUAAAAUGGAGAUUAGUUUGGAAGGAACCUUAAAAGUCAUGUAGCCCUAAUUCCCACAUUCAGAAUGGACACCCCUCACUUGACCAGGCUGCUGAAGUCCUUGUGCAAACUGUCCUUGAACACUUCCAGGGUUGAGGCAUUCACAACCUCCCAGGGCAAUCUGUUCCAGUGUGUUAUCACUCUCACAGUGAAAAAAUUUCUUUCUAAUAUCCAGCCUGAAUUUCUCCUCUUUCAAUUUGUACCCAUUACUCCUUGUCCUAUUAUCUACAGUGUACAAUUAUUCUGUUUUGUGAUAUUCAUUCCAAUUAGUAGUCAAGUUUUUUAAAUUUUAUUUUAUUGUGAAAAUGUAAUGAGACUUGCUGUAGUCACGUACAUUUCAUUAGCAUAUAUCUUACCAUUAUUAUGAUAUUAAAGUCAGGACAACUUGAAGUGAAAGACUGAAACAUAGGGAGGUUGAAAAGCUUUUCUUUCUGAUAGUGUAAUUGAAUUACUGGGAUAGAUAGGCUCAAAUAAUACAAUAUUUGUGUUGCAAAACAAUAUGUACUCCUGGGGUUUUAUCAGUUUUAGUUUGGCCCUUGUUAAAGGUCAAGGUAUGUUUCUCUGAAUAGAAAACAGCUGAGGAUCCUCAGAAUGACAUAGCAUAUUUUUCACAGAUCAUAUUACAGUACUAUACAUAGUCAUAUUGCUAAGGUCUAAAAAAGCUUUGAGUAAAUUUGAACAUGUCAAUUUUUAUAAAUAAUCUUAUAAAAAUGAAAAUAUGCAAAGUAACAAUAAUUUUCAUUUAACUAUUAUUUAGGUAUUUUCUUGUAUGAUCUCUCACUAACAGAUUCAAUAAUAAAAAUAAAUAGAUAGAGAAUGGCUUUGUGAAACAUACCAGCUCAAACUAUACAUUACUAUCUCAGUACUUUGUUUAUUUCACAUAGAAAUUACAAGUGAGUGAAAUAAUGCAAUCUAAAUAGAAAUAAUUUUAACUGUAUGUUAGCUCGGACAUAUGGAUAUGAGAAUAUGAUGUGUGGGAAACAUUAACUGCAGGGUAAAUAAUGCAGAGACUAUAAAACUUAGAAGGGUGAUAGACAUGCCUCUGUUGGAAAUGGUCACAACUCACAGGUCAUAGUCCAGAAUCAGGUCUGGCAUGUAAGCAGUAUAUUUCUAAUGAGCAAUAUUCCUCAACUUCCUACUUAGGCCCGAGCUUUAAAGCUAAUUUGGCAACCAAAAUAGUCUUUGAAGUAGUUUACAUGUUUUGAUUAUCAAGUUCUUCAGAAACUCUGAAGAACUGAUACCACUCAGGCUGUGUUUGCUGGAGUUCCAAUCAUCUCAAAAUAAUCAAAGAAAAGGAGUUAGAAACAUCAGAUUAUCCACUUAGUAAAGCAUGGGUUGUGCUCAUUCCUCAUCCUGAUGAAGUCUGGUUCAAAGGCUGGUGUCUUCUUACGGGUGUUUCACAGUCCAAAAAAUAAUUGUGCUACCAGUUCCUCAUAUAGAAGAUUUCUAUCUCUCAUAACUAUUGUAGGAACAAUUUAGUUCUGCUGUUGCUUUGUGGUUGACCCCAGUGAAUACUGGAUGCACUACCUUGUGCUAGUACCAAUGAUUAAAGUCAUCAAAGAAUCUCAGAUUGCUAUGACCACUCAGCUGCUUGAAACGUCAACAUGUUUGUAUUAUUGUCUUCUGCAAUAUAAAGAAAUGCAUUCCAACAAUACUUUUCUUUUACUUAUGUUUUCCCCUGUAAGACUGUAUGACCAUUGCUAGUAUGAAAUUCUAGCUAGUAUGAAAUACUAGCAUUUUCCACUUAAUCUGGUCUUCUAAGAAAUGCAGUACUGUUGAAAAGAAAGAAGGUGGGGAAUCAAAGUGUCUCAUUAUCAUUGAUCAGUAUCUUGCAUAUGUCUGUUCUUUUGCAGAGGCAUAUGUGUGCAUAUAUGUGUAUACAGAUUAUUUAUGAUAGAAGAAAACUUUUAUUUAUAUUAGAAAUCCUAUUCCAUUAUCAAACAGCACCUUCCCAUUUUAAAAACAUAUUAAUACAAAAUUUAUCAAAAUAUUGUCCUAUGUAUUUAAGACACAGUUUAGUGGUAGACUUGCAUUAUGUUAGUGGUUGAACUUGAUUUUAAGUGUAUUUUUUUUCAAUUUACAUGAUUCUCUGAUUCUAUUUCAGUGAGUUCCUGAGAAGGCAGUUGAGAGAAGAUACAUUCCAGAUUUCUCACUAAGAGCAUAAAUUAUUAAAAUUUACAGUAGCAAAAUCUUGUUCAAGUAUUUCAUAAGCAGCUGGAGCUGUAUUUCACAAAGAGUGAGUUUCAUCAAGUUAGUGAUUUCAGGUUUCAUGUUUUAUUAUUAUUCUCAAUUGAAUUUUGUGGCCAUGAUAAUGAUAUAUAUCAAAUGAAUAUCCAUGCAGCAAAAGAUAUUUCUUAUUCUUAGGAACUUAUUAAUCCUUGAAAUUUUAUUGAGUAUUAUGAACUUUAUUUUUAGUGAUUUGUAUUUUCCAACAAAUUUUGUUACUUUAUAGCCUUGAAAAACAAGUGCAUAGAGGAGGGUUCUCUUAAUAUUGAAUAAGUAAUAUUUUCUUAUUGAUAUAUGUUGAUUAUAUCUUUGCACUAUCUGAGCUUUACCUUUCUCCUUGUCUAUAUUAUUUAAUAAAUCCCUCUAGUUUUUAUUAAAUCAAUGAAUUUAAUCAGUUAUAGAGAGUAGGAUUCCAUUCCAGUAAACAAAUAUCAAAUACGGGGGAAAUAUCAAUAUAUCAAAAUCUCUAUUGAUCCAGCUAUUAAUAGGGCAUCACCCAUCUGGUUCAGUUCAUGGUAUCAAUCACUUUGGCAUUUAUAAAAACUGGAGCAAAAACACACUACAAACGUUUAAAAAUUCCUGAUUUCUUUACCAAGUUAAAGUGUAAAAGAUUACACUAUAUGUAAUAAGGUAGAAAGAUAAAGUGCAUGCAGGUGAAAAAAAAGCAAAGUUCCUUAUACGGCAAACAGAAUGGAAAAACUUCUGCAGAUAAAUAGUGACAUUGAUGAGGCAUAAACCAGGAGCAAUGCUAGAAGUAUUUAUAUUUCCUCUCCUUUUUUCUUUCAUCACCUGUUCCUUCAUCAUUUAACUUCCAUGUUGUUACCUUUGUUUUGACAGCUUAUGGGGUGAUUUACAUUUGCUGCGUGUAUGUUUUUGUUCUCUUCAUUACUCUAUAAACCAGCUCUGCCCAAUUUCCAAGACUGCCUUCCUCUAGUGAUCAGAUAUUGACUGUUUCUGAUUUGCAGCUACGUGUCCAGAGCCCUGGGCUCAUCUGCGUCUGUAUUGUCAGAGCAUUUGCUGUUAUCCUGUGCUCACACAGUUCAGCCCCAAAUCUGGUUAUUAUGGUAUUCAUAUGGAGGACAGAGCUUUCAUCUUCCAUCUUCUGGCAGAGGAAGAUACUGAAUAUGGUCUCCUGCUAUCUAAAGUUUGGAUAUAUGCUCUAGAUCAAUUUGAGAUAUUGCAUUAUGUUCGACUCCUCACCCGCGACUGCUUGAGUGACAUUUAUAAAUGAAAAUGUGGGACUUAAUUAGAAUUGUUGGAAUUGUCUGAUGUAAGUCCACUUGUACAAUCUCCUCUGGAAACGCUGCUUCUUUCAGCUCAAGUCAAAAUCUUUUGCUGGCUGGGCUCCAUCGGAACUCCAGAUAUGAAUCUUGAUCCUUCCAUACUUUCACUAAAGGAAUGUGGUUUGAGUUUUCUCUUCUUUUUACAGAUGACAAGAAAAUCACUUUAUCACAAGGAUCUUGACUUCAGUAGACCUUAAAUCACUUUGAUAUCAGAUUCCCUUUUAUUUAGGCAAUUUAUAGUACUGGCAUUUUUCAGACCAAAGCACAAACACUUAGUAACAGCAAUUCAUUCUGCUGCAGCUAUAAUUUCUAUUUUUAUCCAUGUAUAAAAUUUCAUCUUUCAUAUUUUACAUUUACAAUGAGUGGAUUGGUAAAUUUUUGCUCCCUAGACAAUUAAACAUGAGUUUGAUAUAUAUAAAGCUGACAGCCAAAUUGGCCUGCUAUGGAAAAUCACAUAUAAGUUUCAAUUGCUUAAAACUAGAGUUUUGAGUACUUCCUUCACUUUGUUCAGGCUUACUAGUGCCUUCUUUUUCCAUCCACAUUCAUGUACAGAAUUUAUGUUUUAUUUUACAAACAUCCUGUUCAUAUUCCAGGCAUUCUUACUGAGAUACAUAUAUACUCAUCUACAAUUUAUAGACACAAAUCAAUGAAGAAUCUGAAAUUAUUGAAACAUACUUUCAAUUCAUGUAUUUAGAGGUAUUGAAUACAAUACUUGAUCUUAAAAAAUAGUAUUUUAAAAUAAGUUUCUGCUUACAUUUCCUUACUUCUUUUCUGCUACUUAAAUUUGAUUUGUGGGCCCUGAAGGUGCUAUUCUGCAAUUUCAGAAUCACUAUGGGUUUAGAUAUGUCUAUGGAAGAGUUCAAGGUCUUAUCCACUGUUUCCUCCCUCCUACUAGCUCAGUCCUGACCUAUAUGAGAUUUUAUUUAGAAGAAACUGAAAUAAACAGAUUCUCUCAUUUAGCUUCAUAAAAUUUCUAUUUUGUCCAAUUUAUAAAGACAGCUGAAUUUAAAAAAAAAUUAAAGCUUCAAAGCACUCUUUACAUCUAGACUCUUAACUAGUAUGAUUAGCAAUUUUUCCAGCUGAGACUCUUUCCCUCCCUAUUAAAUAAUUGAACAUUCAAUGGGACUGAGAAAGAGAAGGAGAAACUGAAAACCUGAUUGUACAGCUUGUUGUUUGGUGUUCUCCUUUGGGAUGCAGAAAAGUCAGGUUACAAGUUUCUGCUUCAAAAUGUGGUUUAAUUAUUUAUACAAAGAGAAAUAGGUUCAAUUGUAUACCGAGAGAAGUUCACACUACGAUAUCCAAUAUCUUGAUGAUUAGGGUACUCCCAUGGGUUACUGGAAUCUUCUCUUUCCAUUCCCGUGCCAGUGAAUACUUAAUAAUUUAUACACAAUAAAAUUGCUUCAAGACAAAUGCACAAAAAAUGAUCCAGUACCCCAAAGAUUAGAAUACAUAUCUGCAAUUAAAACAGAUGUCAUUUCAACCCUCUCAUCAAAUCAGAACUCCAAAUCAGCAAGCACAAAUGUUUGGAAACAGAUUCUUCUCUCCUAAUGCUUUGAACUCUGAACUGCAGAGUAAAAUGAAGAGUUUUGUUGGAGCAGAGGAUUUUUGAGACAGCUGAACUGGAACUGGAUAUUAUUUUCCCUGAAGAGGAUACUUUAUUCUGAAUAUAUAAUGCCAAGUGUUCUUGAUACCUGUCUUAGAGUGCUCCCAUAUCUUGGCAUUGUCAUUUUGUGAACAGCUGUUAGCCUUGUGUGAAUCUUACUUGUAGACACCUUGUUUUCUAUACUGGGCAUAAGAAGUCUGGCCUCUAAAUUUGGGACCCAGGGUUAUAGCAGGUUGCAGUAUGCCUAAAAGUUAGAAAUGCUAAAAUCCAAAACUAAUAAACUUCAUUUCUAUGUACAGAGAAGAGAAAAUAUUCAUUUCUAUCCAAAUUGCUUGUACAUCUAUAUCACAGAAGAAACAAGAUACUUCAAAAUGUGUAGCAGCACAGACGAAUUCCAGUCUGCCCCCAGAAGAACAUUUUAUUUAAAUCUAUUCUUUGUGUAAUGAUAUGGAAAUGUUUAGCAACUAAUUUCUUUUAAAAUUGUAUAAAAAUAGUAAUAACUUAUAGAAAACUAUGCUUGUUCUGUCCUGUUAUGUCUCACUUAAUCCUUAUAGCCUUUAAAAUGUGGAUUUAUUUAUAUAUUAUUUGCAUAUUUAUAUAUGCAUAUACAUGUAUUCAUUUGCAUAUAAGGUAAAUUAAAGCACCAAUAACCUUGCUAAACACUGGAACACUAAAAAGAAAAUCAAAUAUUCUCCUUGACUAAUGGUGAAAUACAUUUCUUUUCUCUAGGGAAUAUUAAUUUCUGAGUGUCAAAGUAAUAGUAUUCAUGAGUCAAUAAAAGUCAGGUAAUUGUAUAGUCCAUAAAUAUGCUUAUUCCCCUUGAAAACUUGUAUUACUUAAAUAUAAAUAAGGUCUAUAAUUUUUUUUAUUAUCUAAAUGAAGCUAUUCAAUAAUCACUCAGACAAAACAGGAAAAAUGGAAACUUUAAGCACUAUCAGUGUGAAAAAAUGAUGACAAUUUCAUAGAGAAGACCCUGUAUUUUGCUUUACAUUACUGUUACAGAAAAAACAUGGAAUCGCGCAGCAAACUAUUAUUCAAAAUUAUCACUAUCAAUAUAAUUUUAAAUAAUAAAAGGAACAAUAAAUGUAAAAUGUGCAUCAUUUUUUUCAUUUCUAGUAGGUGUAUCUGAAACUCCUAGGUGAAAGAGAAACUGCUUAGAAGAAACUGCCAGUUUUUAUACCUCCCCUGAGCAAUGAAAUUAUUUACUCAACAGAAAUAAAAUUUGAAAUUUAUCGCCAUGAAGCAAAAUGUAUAAUCUACACUGUGAAAAGAAAUAAUUGUAGUAGUAAUAAUAGUAACAGUAGUAAUAAUUGUAAUAAUUUCCACACAUAAAAUGUAUUUUCCCCUUAUAACCACCAAAAAAUAUUACAUAACACUUGCUUAUAGGGAAAAAACUGUUUUAAUUUUACAUAUUUUUCCCUUUUACAUGCCUAUUGUGUUAUGUCAUAGAAAGUGUACAGCUCAUUUUCUUUCCAAUUUGCCUGUCACACAAUAUUCAAACUGCAUGUAUAUCUCAGGCUUUGAUCAGCAUAAAGGUAAAAACUUAAACGUGAAUACACAAAUAAUUAAAGAUGGAUGUGAUCCCAAUGCUCACUAUUAUCACAUCAAUUUUCAAAGGCUGUGUCAGAACGUAUUUAAAGCUUUUACUCUGUGACCUCCUCCCCAGGCAGGAGCUAUUUAUUUUAUUGUCACUUGCCAGGCAAACAGUAAUUGAAAUACCUAGAACACCUGUUUAUCUGUCUGUCUCACCAAUACAUGUUCAAAACAGCCUGAAAACGGUUGUCUGAAUUGAACACAUUCAGUGUGAAACUGCCUAGAACUAAUUGAUGAAGAUGAGGGUAAAUAUUGGCAUAUUAUGGCAUUUUGUUAGCAGAUUCAGGCAGCCAAAUUUAUUGCUUUCUGCAUUCUUAGACAUGUGAAAAAAAUUUUAUGAAAAUGUGUCAAUAUUUCUUUUAAACUUUUGAAUAGAGCUUGAAUAGGAUUAGAAUAUAGUCAGAAGUUCAUACUACUCUUACAAGAACACUUAAUCUUAUACAAAACUUGAAGGGAGGUUUAUAUCAAGUAAUUGUUAACUAUCUAAAACAAGAAUGUACUCAGUAUUGGUCAAAUAAUUCACUUUUUACUUCAGAGUUUCAAAAAUAGACCUACUAGAGCAAGGCCUUUGUGGUGUCUUUUGUACAGCUCAAGACUGACGUCAAUUAUUAUUGUAUGGAGAAGGUGUUCAAUAAGCAAUUUCUGCCUUUAAAAAGAGAGAGAGACUAUACUAGAUCAAAAUUUUCAAAUACCAAAGACUGUAGUUUAAAAUUAAAAAUUGCUACAAACAUUAUCUUCCUUUGUUCCUUUUUCCUGCCUUGAUCCAAUCCCACAUCAGUAUUCAAUUACAAAAUUAUUUUUAAUAUGUUUCUACCUACUUGGUCACCUGUUGCCAUGAAAGUCUUGAAACUCUCUGAGGUAUGAGAGGUCACUGUGCCUGGCAGAUUUCCUCCAGAAUUCCUCAGUAAAGGAAUGGCUAUGGCUUACUUUGGUUGGGGAGUACUAUUAAAUAGCUGUUGAAAGAUAAGCAUAGCCUAGUGUCUUUCUUGGCAAAAGCAGGUAAUAAAAUCCUAAAGUUCAGUUGGGUUGGUUGUGCUGAGCAUUUUCUCUGCAAUCCUAUCAGACAGCAUAGACAAGUAAAGAACAAGACCUAAUGACAAACCUGGAAACAUAAACAGAACUUUUCAAUCAAAAAUAUAAAAAUCAAAAAUAUUGAUUUUUCUUAUGACAGAAUAUUUUGUUGAAUAUUUUGAAAUUGGACAGAUAGUUUAUAUGAAAUUACAUUUAUAUGAAGCACAGUUUGGAAAAUUAGCAUCACUUGGAAAUAACAGCAUCCUUCUCUGUUUGUGGCUAAUGAUGUAAAUCAUGGAAGAAAACCAGUCUUUUACUUUCCCAGGUUAAGGAAAGGGCAAAUCUUCAUCAAGAAAAAUUUUCUUAACUCUGUGGUUUGGCAGAGACAGGCUACUAAUAGUGUUUAACAAUCCCAAUCGUGUUAAUUCUUUAAACUGUCCAAUAGAAACCGAACUUAACAUCUCAAAGUAAAGUAUAUGGGAAGCUAUUAUUCAGUAAGAAUUGAUGUCCAAUGCACAGUUCAAAGAGUGGUUUAAACUUGAGUUUGAAACACUGAUUUUUUUAUUUGAGGGAACUUUUUUCCAUCAGUAAAUUGGUGAAAUCAUCAAUUUAAAAAGAAAAUAAGAGAGGAAAAUGGGAAUUAAACAAAGUAAGCUCUGGUUUAAAUGGUAAGAUUAAAAAAAAAAAAGGAAGAGAACUUGUAGAGAAUUUAGUAAAAUUGUUUUCUGUUUUAAAUGUUUUCUAAAUUAUUGUCCUAAAAAUUCACAUUAUGAUAUAUACACACAGACUGCAAGUCACAAAAAUAUUGCAAUGAAGAAUCUUAAGCUCUAUGAUUCUUUUUAUUAUUAAAUUAUACAGGAAGUUGAAAUGGACGGGAGAAAUACUAGUUAGUGGCUUUUAACGUCAAUGAAUUAUUGAUUGUGUUAUGAAAGUUAAGGAGACAUCUUUGUUUCAAGAAAGCCUACAUGAAGACAUGUUGAAAAAUAUUUUCAGUUGUAAUUUCAGAAAGAUUCUGAAAUUUAUCUCAUCGUAUGAAUGUUUAACUUUUCCUAUUGUGCAAUCUCUCUAUUUAGAGAUCAGCAUAAAACAUAUCCUUCCAUGAGAAAUAUGGAGAGAAGUAUGAGAAGUAUGAUAAUCACAACUGCUAUGACCCUUUAUGUUCUCUGGGCAAUCUUAGCUGGUUUCCUUCACUAUGCUUCAAAAGACCAAAUGCUGAACCAUGUAAAUAUUGCAGAUUGGAGAGUAUGUCUGCAAUUACUCUUUUAAAGGCUGUAAUGAAGAGUACAAUGUCAGUGAUGUGCCUUGGGAUGUCCAUAAGUGCAAAAGCUCAAAUCUGCAAAGUGCUGUGGAAGAAAGGACCUAUUUCUACUGUAAUAUUGCUUGGAGCACUCAGCACAUGCCAAAGAGUACUCAGCACCUUGCUGGAUUAUCCCAAUGGCCAGAAGACUAUAUAGGAUGAGAAAAGGCAUCAUCUAGCAUAUACACUGUCUGCAGCACUAAGUACUACCCAGUUGCUAUUACAUAGAGAAUUUUGCUCUUUUAUUUUGGAAGAAAAUAAAGAGGUGGUUGUUUGUUUUUUUUUUUUUUUGAUUCUUUGAA